UAGGUACUCCCUCCGUCCGAAAAUACUUGUCAUCAAAAUGGAUAAAAAGAGAUGUAUCUAGAACUAAUAUACAUCUAGAUACAUUCCCUUUUAUUCAUUUUGAUGACAAGUAUUUCCAGACGGAGGGAGUACAAU
rnacentral:pre_miRNA from 1 species